ACAAAUCAGAAGCUACAACGAUCUGAGAUUAAUUGGCUAAACUCAUUAACCACACUAAUCAAUAUUCGUUAUAUGUGUAUAUUCCACUAAAGACUCAUAGAUUAACUUUUCUCACUGUAGAUAUAUUUUUGUGUCCACGGAUAUAGACACGUGUGUUCAUAACACCAGUUGGGUCAAUUUAUCAUUUUACCCCUAGGUUAC
rnacentral:lncRNA from 1 species